CACCUGCUGGGACGAGUCACUGGAGCGCUCAUCUGUAAAAUGGGGACAGGUUGCUGUCUUGAUCUUUGGUUUCCUCAUCUUUCAACAGGGAUCAUCAGAGUUGUUAACGAUAGCCCAGCUCAUCCAUACAAGUCACAGGGCUCCGGAACUGGCACCAAGUAAACUCUCAAUGAAAGUUUUUAUUAUUACUAUUAUUAUAAUUAUCGUUAUUAUCAACAUAAGCAGCUUGCCUCACAUCGUGGGUAUGAAGAUGGAACAGCUGCUGAUGUGCUCUGUGAAUGUGCAGAGCUCGGCAGGUGUGAGGAACGAUUGCUUCAGAGGGAAGGAAGGUAAGAAUUGUCCCAGGAGAAGCUUCCCUUUGUUAAAAUGGAAGCAAAGCCACCCUGAAGAUGGGUUUCUCUUUUUACUCGGAUAUUACAAUCGAUCUGAAUGCCUUCGUCUGGCUUUUCUGUACUCUGACCUGUCUCAUCUGUCACGGACUUCUGGCCUCCCGCAUCAGAAUCUAGGAGUUAAAAACAGUGCAAGGAGACCAGGGAACAGUCCUAAGGCAGCCUCAAGGCAGACUUUUUCCAGGAAGAAGCCAGAGUCCCCCUCCGCCCAGCCAGGAGCCCUGUUGGAGGCCAGCUCAGGUUCAGGUACGCGUGCCGAAGAGCAGGGAGGACGGAGGGGUCAGAAGGAC
rnacentral:lncRNA from 1 species